rnacentral:tRNA from 1 species
GGGGGUAUAGCUCAGUGGAAGAGCAUUCGACUGCCGAUUGGGAGGUCCCGGUUCAAACCCGGGUAUCUUCU